rnacentral:rRNA from 1 species
GUACACGCUGUGACUAGCAUAUCAAUAAGCGGAGGAAAAGAAACUAACAAGGAUUCCCCUAGUAACGGCGAGUGAAGCGGGAAGAGCUCAAAUUUGAAAUCUUAAAGGGUUUCCCUUUACGAAUUGUAGUUUAAAGAAGUGUUUUCUGUUGAGGUUUUGGUAAAAGUUCUUUGGAAUAGGACAUCAUAGAGGGUGAGAAUCCCGUAUUUGACCUUUACUUUCAACUUUGUGAUACACUUUCAAAGAGUCGGAUUGUUUGGGAAUGCAGUCCAAAAUGGGUGGUAAAUUUCAUCUAAAGCUAAAUAUUGGCGAGAGACCGAUAGCGAACAAGUACCGUGAGGGAAAGAUGAAAAGAACUUUGAAAAGAGAGUUAAACAGUACGUGAAAUUGUCAAAAGGGAAGCGUUUGACACCAGUGUUGUUUUUCUGAAAAUCAAUUAAAGAACUGUUUAUGCUAAGUUGUUUAGACUUUAUCAGCUAAUCUGUUUAGUUUUGAGCUUUUCUUUAAUGCACUUUUCAGUUAACAAGUCAACAUCAAUUUCUUUUGCUGUAAAAAAGCUUGAGGAAGGUGGCUUGAGAUUCGUCUUAAGUGUUUAUAGCCUCUUGCCUAUGCAGUCGGAGAGAUUGAGGUCUGCAGCGUAGAUCCUUCGGGGCUAAAUGCAUUUGUGCUAAGUUAUAACAUUUUAUAGACAACUUGUUGACUAUGAUUUGUCUUGUAGCUUACUCGCUUAUGUUAUUUUACCUACGCUUAGGAUGUUGAAGUCAUCGUAUCGCGC